CUCCUUGGAGCCUCUGGUUCCGGAGAAGGGAGGAUGCCUUGGAAUGGAAUUCGCGCAGUUUCCCCCUCCCCCUUUUUUUUCCACGGAGUGGGGGCGAUAGAGCUUGUUGACGGGGGACAUUCCUGCACCUCGGAGAGGCUGAGGAGACAUGCGGUCUGGUCCUCCACGGGUGACGUUCCCACGGUCAGCAGUUUCCCCACUUAGCGUGGUUGAGCAGCAAGCGGGUUCUUGGAACCUGGUAGAUCCGGAGCCAAAUUCCAGGUCAACCACAAUGGAGACUUGUGAUUUUGAUGGAUAACUUCACAUUUUCCUGCCUUGGUCUGUCUGGCUAUAAAAGGGGAUUAGGCUAAUAGCUAUCUCCAGGAGGCGAUCGUGAGGGAUUAAUAAUAAAAGAUUUACAUCAAGUGCUUGGCGCACCGCCUGCCUCAAAGUGCUCCAUUCGUGGUAGUGCUUAAUAUAUUAUUAGUGAUAUAUUCUUAUUGUCACCCUUGGUAUUAUUGGGCAUAACUGCCAUCCAAGGUGCCACUGUAAUUUUAGGCUUUGGCUGGUUGCCUCUUGGCCCACUCUGAGAGUACUGCCUUCUUCUCCAGAGCUAAGUUUCCCCAGCCCACCUGACUCAGGUAUCCCAGGGCUCAGAGCAACUUGGAUUUGGGGACUAAAUCUCUAUCCUUUUCCUGGGCUUAGAGUCCAUCAUUCAGAUGGGUGGUUGCCAUGGGAAGGUGACAUCUUUCUGGCCAGACCCCUGCUGGGACUCCUCUGCACCAGUCCAGUGGGGUUAAGGUGGCACCUGAAUGAACCUGCACUUGUCUUAGGGGCUUGUCUCAUGACAUCAGGAGUUGGAACAUCACUCCUUUUGAGACCUACCAUUGUCCCAGUCAAUGUUCUAUAUCACAGGAAAAUCACACUCUUUGAGACAGUGGUCUCCAAAGUGUGGUCCAGGACCGCCCCCCACCCCCCAUGUCUCUGAGACCCUUUUGAGGGACCCAUCAGGUUGGAACUAUGAUAAUCUUUUGCCUUUUUCACUUUUACCCCCAAGUUCGCCAUGAUGUUUGACAUCAUAAUAGACUGGAUGCAGAAACAGGAGAACCCAGCUGUUUUCUGUUAAAUUGGAAAUUAAAGAGAUUUGUAAAAACACGAAGCAAUGUCCCUCUGACUAAAUAUUUUGGUUUUGGAAAAUAUAAUUGUUUCCUGAAAAGAUUUGUAUUACCAUGCACUGUCUUGAUUGUUUUUAAUGGAUUAAUGAGUAAACAUUUCCGAAUUU